AUUGAACGCUGGCGGCAUGCCUUACACAUGCAAGUCGAACGGCAGCACGGGUGCUUGCACCUGGUGGCGAGUGGCGAACGGGUGAGUAAUACAUCGGAACAUGUCCUGUAGUGGGGGAUAGCCCGGCGAAAGCCGGAUUAAUACCGCAUACGAUCUACGGAUGAAAGCGGGGGACCUUCGGGCCUCGCGCUAUAGGGUUGGCCGACGGCUGAUUAGCUAGUUGGUGGGGUAAAGGCCUACCAAGGCGACGAUCAGUAGCUGGUCUGAGAGGACGACCAGCCACACUGGGACUGAGCCACGGCCCAGACUCCUACGGGAGGCAGCAGUGGGGAAUUUUGGACAAUGGGCGAAAGCCUGAUCCAGCAAUGCCGCGUGUGUGAAGAAGGCCUUCGGGUUGUAAAGCACUUUUGUCCGGAAAGAAAUCCUUGGCCCUAAUACGGUCGGGGGAUGACGGUACCGGAAGAAUAAGCACCGGCUAACUACGUG
rnacentral:rRNA from 1 species